GGUAAGGGAUGGAGGGCACCAUCCUGCUGACUCUAACUUCCCAGUUUCCACUUUUUUGCAACCUAAAAUCAGUAAAAUAACAUUGAAUUAUCAAAUAUGGAACAAAAUCUGUGCUCCUAAGUCCUAAACCCAAAACCCUUUCUCAAUCUUCAUCCCCUUUACAAAACCCAAAUUCUCCCGUUUGUAUCAUCAUUAAACAAUCCCCUUGCUGAUUAAACAAACCCCUUAUUUCAUCUCCUCAUCAGAAAUUUCUUGAUGUACGAUUUAGCAGAGAUGUCGUCUGAGACUUGUUUAAGCUGUGCUCCUUCAUCUUAUAUGCCAAGAAAGAAAGCUGGUCGAUUUGAAUCGAUUUAAGUUAUUCUUUGUGAUUUCAGUAAUACGGAGGAUCUUACCAAGUCAAUUAGGUUAAUGGAAAAUCAGAUCAUACAAAUGGAUAGACUCUGAAAGAAGAAACAAAAGUGGUACUUAAAAGAGGAAGAUUCUACGAAUAGAAUAAGGGGAAGGGGAAGUGCAAGUGGUAAGACUUUGAGGAACACGAUGAUAGCUUUAUAUUUUGUACAAGAAAACCAAGCAAUCAAGCGAUGGAAGCUUGACGAGGGUAGAUGCAGACAGGUGCUGGAGAAGGAUUUGGCAAUAUGUGAGUUCUUCAUUGCCUUAGGAAGUACAUAGUCCGUUCUAUUUGAAAUGGUUUGUUGUUGAAAGUGGAGAUAUCAAACACAGUAAAGAUGUGAAUGCUCUUUUGAAAGGUUUAAUGUCGAGUUUUCUAGUGAUCGAGUGGGGAAAUGAGUUUUGGACUAGUGUGAAACUGAGCUGUAGUGAUUGUUUCAUUAGGAAUUGGCUUUAUUAUAUACGGAGUAGUUAGGUUGCGGAAGAAUAUAUUUGAAACGGGAUGCAUCCAAAAGUUCUGGAUGUUCACUUCCUGGAGAAAUUUAAGACUUCCAUGGUAAUGGGCAAUGAACCCGAUAAAGAAAUUCUGAAAAUGGUUGGAAGAACCACUUUGAGGAUCAAGGAUUUUGGAUAACAUUCCAGGAGGGAUGGAACACAUGCCACCAGUUAUGAACAUGGUUUCCACUAUGUUUUUAAAAGAAACUGCGCUGGGUGCAAAGAUGAAAAAUAUUAAACCAUCUUAGCUUCAAUGUCAUGUAUCACAUGGAUAUUGGAUCUCGAGACCUAUAUGGCCCGCAUUGUUGGAUUUGAGGUUACUCCAAACAAGUAUAAUAGAUUUGUUCUCUCCUUGCAACGUUUGAUGAUUUGAUUUUUUGUGUUCAUUUUUGUUGACAUGAUGAUGCGCUACCCUUUUUCAUCCUGGCAUCAAUUCAUUGGUAUUUUUUUAAUUUCACGUCUUAAAAUCAAAAUACAAAAACGACCUGAGUUCAGGAUUUGAGACAAUUUAGUUUCAAAUAAACUAAGAAAAAGGGUUACCAAAAUAAAGAAGAAAGAACAAGUUUAUAAAAGAGGAACAUAUCAGGAAAUAGUGUAGAAACAAAGAGGGAGUGAAUGGAAGAGUGUGAAUUGCACUCAGAGGAGAGACUCAUUUUCCUUAUACACAUUUUAUGCAGUUAAAACUAUAAUCUUAAUACGUAAAAUAUCUUGAUUACAAUUCACUAUCAUAUUGCACAGACUACUUGUUCUGUUAACCUCAUUUUAACGCACCUCUCAAGCAAGCGCGUAGGUAUGUGGCAUACCUAGCUCGUCGAGGAAAGAGUUGGAUGGACUAGGAAAUCCUUUUGUUAGAAUGUCUCGCGUACCUAGCUUGUUGAGGAAAGAGUUGGAUGGACUAGGCAAUCCUAUUGUUAGAAUGUCUCGCAUACCUAGCUCGUCGAGGAAAGAGUUGGAUGGACUAGAAAAUCCUUUUGUUAAAAUAUCUGCAAUCUAAUUUCCUUCAACAAUAUUAACCACAAUAACUCACAGAUUUCAUGAGCAAUAGCUCUAAACUUCGUCUCUGCACUACACCUAGCCAAGGUUUUAAAAAGCAAAAGCGUGGGACGAAGCGCUCUCAUACCAAAGCGUAAAGCGAAAGCGAGCUUUUUGAAAUAUAUAAUAAUAUAUAUAAAU